GGUAUCUAUAUUACCGUUAUUAACCCAUUAUUGCCCUCACUGUAUCUAUAUUACCGUUAUUAACCCAUCAUUGUCGUCACUUCAUCUAUAUUUUUUUUAUUAACCCACCAUUGUGCUCUCUGUAUCUAUAUUACUGUUAUUAAUCCACCAUUUUCCUCUCUGUAUCUAUAUUACUGUUAUUAACCCAUUAUUGCCCUUUCUGUAUCUAUAUUACUGUUAUUAACCCAUCA